rnacentral:rRNA from 1 species
GACGAACGCUGGCGGCGUGCUUAACACAUGCAAGUCAAGGACCGUAGCAAUACGGGACUGGCGCACGGGUGCGGAACACGUAGGCAAUCUGCCCUCCAGGGGAGAACAACCAGCCGAAAGGUUGGCUAAAUCUCCGUAAAAUACAUAGAGUGGCAUCACUUAUUGAUCAAGUUUCUGAAGGAUGAGCCUGCGUCUGAUUAGCUAGUU